UACGUAGGGUGCGAGCGUUGUCCGGAAUUAUUGGGCGUAAAGGGCUCGUAGGCGGUUUGUCGCGUCGGGAGUGAAAACCUUGGGCUUAACUCAGGGCUUGCUUUCGAUACGGGCAGACUAGAGGUAUGCAGGGGAGAACGGAAUUCUUGGUGUAGCGGUGAAAUGCGUAGAUAUCAAGAGGAACACCUGAGGUGAAGACGGGUUGCUGGGCCGACACUGACGCUGAUGCGCGAAAGCCAGGGGAGUAAACGGG
rnacentral:rRNA from 1 species